rnacentral:lncRNA from 1 species
CCUUAACAUAUAUGCUCAGUACAUGAUGUGUGACAUGAAAUGUAUGUGUGGGGAGAGAUCCCUGUGAUUUAUUAGUGCCUUCACAGACAAAGGGUGCAUCGUGUGGCUGAGUCAAGACAUUAGGACUCGAAUUAAAUAUCAGUAUAGAGUAGCAUGCAAAGAAUGAGAGUCAUGCAUGCAGGAUGUAAACCAUAGUGCAUGUUUAAGAUGUCGAUGACAUAGCAUAAAUAUAUGGGUGGCAUGUGGGUGUGACAUGAUAUGAUAUAGAAAUAACUAUCCAGUAGAUCGCAAACUAGAGAUAGGCUAUUUC